AAAUGUUCUCAGGGCGGGGUGAAAGUCCCCACCGGCGGUAAGGGUCCUUCGCGGGACCCAAGCCCGCGAGCGCCUCCCACCCAGGUGGAAGGGUCAGCAGAUCCGGUGUGAUUCCGGAGCCGACGGUCACAGUCCGGAUGGAAGAGAACGAAC
rnacentral:ncRNA from 2 species